rnacentral:rRNA from 1 species
CCCAUACAAUCUUGCUAGCGCAUGCUAAAAAGAUAAAAGCUCCGGCGGUGUAAAAUGAGCGUGCGUCCUAUUAGCUAGUUGGAGAGGUAAUGGCUCACCAAGGCUACGAUGGGUAGGGGUUCUUAGUGGAAGGUCCCCCACACUGGCACUGAGAUACGGGCCAGACUCCUACGGGAGGCAGCAGUAGGGAAUAUUGGUCAAUGGGCGCAAGCCUGAACCAGCCAUGCCGAGUGCAGGAUGAAGGCUCUCUGAGUUGUAAACUGCUUUUGUACAGGAGCAAAAAAGCCCCUGCGGGGGCUCUUGAGAGUACUGUAAGAAUAAGCACCGGCUAAUUCCGUGCCAGCAGCCGCGGUAAUACGGAAGGUGCAAGCGUUAUCCGGUUUUAUUGGGUUUAAAGGGUGCGUAGGCGGCUUAUUAAGUCAGUUGUGAAAUCCUAGUGCUUAACGCUAGAACUGCGAUUGAUACUAUUAGGCUUGAGUUAAGAAGAGGUAGGCAGAAUUUAUGGUGUAGUAGUGAAAUGCUUAGAUAUCAUAAGGAAUACCAAUAGCGUAGGCAGCUUACUGGUCUUUAACUGACGCUGAGGCACGAAAGCGUGGGGAGCAAACAGGAUUAGAUACCCUGGUAGUCCACGCCGUAAACGAUGAUCACUCGAUAUACAUGAAACCUCGUGUGUGUCUAAGCGAAAGCGUUAAGUGAUCCACCUGGGGAGUAUACUCGCAAGGGUGAAACUCAAAGGAAUUGACGGGGGUCCGCACAAGCGGUGGAGUAUGUGGUUUAAUUCGAUAAUACGCGAGAAACCUUACCUGGGCUAGAAUGUAUUUGACACCUUGAG